UACGUAGGGUGCGAGCGUUUAAUCGGAAUUACUGGGCGUAAAGUGUGCGCAGGCGGCCGCGCAAGUCGAGUGUGAAAGCCCCGGGCUUAACUUGGGAAUUGCGCUCGAAACUACGUGGCUGGAGUGUGGCAGAGGAAGGUGGAAUUCCACGUGUAGCGGUGAAAUGCGUAGAGAUGUGGAGGAACACCAAUGGCGAAGGCAGCCUUCUGGGCCAACACUGACGCUCAUGCACGAAAGCGUGGGGAGCAAACAGG
rnacentral:rRNA from 1 species